rnacentral:lncRNA from 1 species
AGCAGGGCUGAGACAGGGCCGCGGCAGGCCCGGAGGGGGCCGGCAGCUGCCCGGGGAUGGCUCUGGCUGCGGGAACCGGCCCCAGGCAGGGCCAGGGCAGGCCCCGGGUGCCCUCGUAGCAGGGCCUGCAGCGGGGAGCCUCCCUUCCUCUCACCUUCGCCACUCUGGACAGGGUCCACCACUAACCUGGGGAGGGGAAGGGAAUAGUCUCUGCGGUAGAAAAUAAAAGCGAUUAGAAGCCACAGAGGAUUAUUGAUCCAUGAUAAUUGAUCCAUUGUCUGCCAAUAAAAGAGGACUAAGUGGGAGCUCAUAUUUUUGGAGCAGGGGAGUAAGCUCCAGUGUUAUCUCAUGAGUUGCAUGAAAAAAGCUGUUUGUAAGAUGACAGAGAGGAUGGCUAGUACCUGCUCUGCUAGUGGUAAAAGCAGGUAUGGCCAGAGGUGAAAGACUGAGUAUUGUGACCAGAGAAAAGACAGUAACAGGAAUCAAGACACAGCAGGGAAUGAGUCAAGUUGCAGAAAUUCAAAAUCACAGAAAAAAAUCAAUCUGGCCACAUUAAAUGGAGCUGAGAAGACAAGGGAGACAGUUGAACUUGCAUAUCAGCAGCAGCAUCUGGGAAAGUGGGUCAAAUGGAGGAUUAGCAGUAUGAAAGUGAAGGCAGUCGAAGCAGGCAUCAUACUCGCAAGAGGAGACAGGAGUGGAGCUGGACAGGUGAAAACAAAAGGUGUGCUGAGGGAGUGGAUUCCCCUCCAAGUAAUGAAGAAGGUGCUCUGUCGGGAGGCAGUACACUUAUUACACACAGCUUGCAUCUCUGAGGAAAUCAAAUGUGAGGUCAGAUCUCCACAUUUGACAGUUUCCCUGUGCCAAACUGACAUCAACAUGAGUAAUGAAGCAUGUCACGGUGUUGAUGAAUUGUUGACAGAACAGAAAACUGGAGACAGUUCUACCGUGCACAUCGCACUGCACAAAUGGAGGACAUAUCUGAAAAGCCAUGGAUGUGAUGGAGAGAAACAUAUUGCAAAUGUCCUGCAGAAAGAUGAGGCAAAAACCCUGAAGUUUUGUAGCUUAAGAAGGUUAAAGAUCAAGAAUUUUUCUAUGUCCAGAAUAGAAUAUUUUGCUCUCAACCCUUUAUUUUUCAUUAUAACUACAGUGUGACCAGCCUGGUUUUUACAUUGUCAUUUGUUCAUGUGUUUCAAGCAUGAUACCUCUGUUUAAUUAGGGAUGUGUCAUUAGGAAGUGCCUAAGGGUGGUAUGGUGGAGAUUGCUUUUGAGACAAAACCCCUCUUCCCAUUUGUAUUGUAUUGCAUGCAGGAACCCUGGAGUGUAUGUGUUUGCAGUAGAAUAAUAAGAUGAAGGAAGUCUGUCCUCUUCCAUUUCCUUGCCACCCCGGUAUGGCAAAAGUAAUAGACUCUACACAGCUAGGAAGGCUUGUGUGAUGGGGUCCUUUCUGAGGAUGGUGCUGGCAUAGCCACCUCCUCUUCCUUUCUCUGCAGGUUCUAGCACAGGCAGAGAGAAAAGAAUCACACAGACAUGACACUUAAUGGCAUAUAAUUCAGGGGGAAUAUUAGUAAAGGUCAGUUAUAGCCAUUUUUCUGCUACACUUUUUCAAACUUCAGAAAACUUCAGGCUAUCAGUUAACUUGGUUGUAGGUUCAUGUAAGAACUACUUAGAUCUGCUGGGUUUCCUUUACCUUUAAGUCUAAUAAAAAGAGUGAUCCAGUGUCUUGCA